rnacentral:lncRNA from 1 species
CACCAGAGAGGAGUAAGCCAGCACGAUGGAUGUCACAGAGGAAAAUAUGACACCAAAGGAGAUGCGUGAGAAAAUAGUAGAGCUGGAGCACGGUCUAAACCAGCAGAGGGACCUAAAUGCUAAAAUCAACAACUGGCUGGAUGUUGCAGAUGAUGAUAUAGCAAUGCUGCGCACAGAGAACGGCCUCCUCAGCAAACAAGUGAAAGCCCUGGAGAAGAGCAACAGUGGCACACAGCAGAUUGAAGCAGAGCCUUGCAGGUCCCUCCUGGCUGAUAACCUCAAUGCAAAGAGGUGUAGUGAAAACAAGAUUCAGAAAUUGGAGAAGGAAUCCACCGUGGUGAAAGAACACAAUAAGACGCUAACUGAAGAGCUCAAGAGCCUCCAGCAAGAGAGAGACCGGGACAAGAUUAGCUUGAAGAAGAACAGGGUUGCACUUCAAACCAUGGAGCGUAGAAUGGAAGAGGCUCAGUUAGGGCUGCAGAAUAGGGAUGAGUAUAUUCAUCAGAAAAACUUGCAGUCAAAGCAGUCGGAGAAAACUGAAGAAGAGUACUCCAACAUCAUAGAGUAUCUCAGGCUGACAAAUUGGGAACUGAGAGAGCAGUUGGAGGACAGACAGGAUGAGGCCUCAUUCGCUAUGGUGAAUGACCUGAUGGGAAAAAAUGAAGGAAUGCCCAGUCCCUGUCUGUCCUUUGCAGAGGAACUGAAGCUGCUGGCCUCUUCAGCUGAAAUGAAAACCAUCAUGUCAGACUCCACAGAUCUUAGACAUGAGGAAUCUGAGGCUGAGGAGCCACUGAAUCCUCAGAGUCUCACAGUAGACCGUCAGACCAAAAGGUGUGCAGGUACCUUGGAGACAGCCAUCCAGAGAGCAGGACUAUUUCUUCUGUCGGUCUUCAUUCUCACUGUUUUGGCCUUUGUGACUUCAGGAAGCUGUACAGGAAACUUUUUUUCCAUCAACACCUUGUGGAGCGGUGCACGCCUGAUGUUACAGCCCUACUGCAGUGUGCAUUAUGGGGCCUUACCUCCUAUUUGAUCUAAAAACUCCAUCUUAUAAACAUGUUGUCUUCAUUUAUCUGGCUGACUGUGUUUCUUUUUGUAGCUGAUUUACUCAGCAGAUCACAAGGCUAAAGGGUUUAUUUUAAUAUUUCUCAAAAGAUACAUGACAUUUGCAGUGGAAUAUAAAUGAUGUUGCAUGUUUAUUAGGCGCUUGUGUAGCUGUUUUGUUAGUUCUGUAACAAUGAGUCGAAAAGAAAACAUUCAAUAACCUGAAACAAACGAGCCAAAAUGUCUGCAGUGAAAAAGGCCUUUUUCAUUCUGAACAAUCUGCAGGUAGAAAGCAGAUUUUAUUUCUUUCUUUAAAUACUAAAAAUGAUAUCAAUAAAAGUCGAAUUGGAAGAACAGAUAUCUAUAAACA